rnacentral:rRNA from 1 species
ACCUCCCACCCGUGUUUAUUUUACCUUGUUGCUUCGGCGGGCCCGCCUUUACUGGCCGCCGGGGGGCUCACGCCCCCGGGCCCGCGCCCGCCGAAGACACCCCCGAACUCUGUCUGAAGAUUGAAGUCUGAGUGAAAAUAUAAAUUAUUUAAAACUUUCAACAACGGAUCUCUUGGUUCCGGCAUCGAUGAAGAACGCAGCGAAAUGCGAUACGUAAUGUGAAUUGCAAAUUCAGUGAAUCAUCGAGUCUUUGAACGCACAUUGCGCCCCCUGGUAUUCCGGGGGGCAUGCCUGUCCGAGCGUCAUUGCUGCCCUCAAGCCCGGCUUGUGUGUUGGGCCCCGUCCUCCGAUUCCGGGGGACGGGCCCGAAAGGCAGCGGCGGCACCGCGUCCGGUCCUCGAGCGUAUGGGGCUUUGUCACCCGCUCUGUAGGCCCGGCCGGCGCUUGCCGAUCAACCCAAAUUUUUAUCCAGGUUGACCUCGGAUCAGGUAGGGAUACCCGCUGAACUUAAGCAUAUCA